rnacentral:rRNA from 1 species
GGGGAAUAUUGGACAAUGGGGGCAACCCUGAUCCAGCCAUGCCGCGUGAGUGACGAAGGCCUUAGGGUUGUAAAACUCUUUCAUCCGGGAAGAUAAUGACUGUACCGGAAGAAUAAGCCCCGGCUAACUUCGUGCCAGCAGCCGCGGUAAUACGAAGGGGGCUAGCGUUGUUCGGAAUCACUGGGCGUAAAGCGCACGUAGGCGGAUUGUUAAGUCAGAGGUGAAAUCCCGGAGCUCAACUUCGGAACUGCCUUUGAUACUGGCAAUCUCGAGUCUGGAAGAGGUUAGUGGAACUGCGAGUGUAGAGGUGAAAUUCGUAGAUAUUCGCAAGAACACCAGUGGCGAAGGCGGCUAACUGGUCCAGUACUGACGCUGAGGUGCGAAAGCGUGGGGAGCAAAC